GAUGAAGAACGUAGCGAAAUGCGAUACUUGGUGUGAAUUGCAGAAUCCCGUGAACCAUCGAGUCUUUGAACGCAAGUUGCGCCCGAAGCCAUUAGGCCGAGGGCACGCCUGCCUGGGCGUCACACGUCGUUGCCCCCCCAUCUACUCCUUCGGGAUUGCGGGGGGCGGAUGAUGGCCUCCCGUGCGCCUCGCCGCGCGGUUGGCAUAAAUGCCAAGUCCUCGGCGACGCACGCCACGACAAUCGGUGGUUGCGAAACCUCGGUUGCCCGUCGUGUGCGGUCGUCGCGCAUCGAGGGCUCGAAAAAAUUGCCGGGUUCCGGCUCGGCUUUCAACGCGACCCCAGGUCAGGCGGGGUUACCCGCUGAAUUUAAGCAUAUCAAUAAGCGGUGGA
rnacentral:misc_RNA from 1 species